AUGAGGCUCUUGUGUUGGAACUGUCACGGUCUGGGGACGGACGCGACAGUGGGUGAGCUAAAAUGGCUCAUUAGUAAAUAUCGUCCCUCCCUCCUCUUCCUAUCUGAGACGAAGACGAGGGAUUCAAGAGCUCAGAAUUUCAUGUGGUCUCUGAGAUAUUCAAGUGCUUUUGCAGUCAGCUGUGAGGGUUUGAGUGGCGGGCUUGCUCUCUUU
rnacentral:rRNA from 1 species